rnacentral:lncRNA from 1 species
AUGACGGAGACUGUUCCUUCGCUUGGAGGUACGGCGCAAACGGUUGAUUUACGUGAAGUGGAAGUGGGGUUUAGGAUUAUUGUAAAGAGAUGGAAGACACGAGAGGGUAGAUGAUGAAAACAUCGAAUUCAUGAGGAAACGCGUGUGAUAUCAAAUAUCAACACGAUGGUGGUGGCAUUUGAAUAUUAAGGUGUGCUGCUAAUCUGGAAAUGUUUUUUUUUUUCAAAAUAAAACAAAUGUUAAUUAAUCUUAAAUGAUAAAGUAUUCAAGCGACUCAUUAUGAAGAUUCCAUCAAGUAUUCGACCCUAUGCAGUUAAUGCGGUAAAAUAUCGGAUAUCGGUCAAGGACCGAUAUUUGAAAUAUAGGUUAUCUCGGUGAGAUAUCGGUGGGAUAUCGGUAAUUUUAAUAUAAUGCAGAAUUUAUAUUUAUAGCAAUUUAACACCAAUAAUUCAGUGAUAUAUCGAUUAUAUCAGUCAAAUAUCGGUGAUAUAUCGGUUAUAUCGGUCAAAAAUCGGUGAUAUAUCGGUUAUAUCGGUCAAAUAUCGGUCAAUAUCGCCGAUAAUAUCGGUACCGAUAUUUUGACCGAUAUUUGACACCGAUAUUUUACCAAGGGACCGAUAUAUCACCAAUAUUAACUGCAUAGAUUCGACAUAUACGUAAACAUCUAAACUUGAGGCUUUUGUGACACACAAAACCAGUGGCAGGACAGACAGGCUAGACACCGCCAGGGUCUCAAUAGAUGGCUCCUGGCUCCGUGACAUUAGGGGGUAGGGGCGCCCAUCACUCACCACACACUCAUCACUCACAACAUCCAAUCAAUUUCCGCCAUGUCAUCGAGCAAAUUAUGGCAUAGUUGUGAAUAGCAGAUUUAAAGCUCGCUAUAGUGCGCUACAAGGUUUAUAGCGACAAAUAGCAACCUUUCUGAAAAAAAAUCUAUUUUUAAUUUUUUUAAUAAAUAUAAAUAGCGAUGCCCAUUAAGUUUUUUUUUUUUUUUUUUCGUUUCACAACUGAAAAAAGUGUAUUUAGAUUAAAUAUACAUGUAAAAUAUUUCUUUAAUUUUCUACUAUUUUAUCGCUAAACAUAAAAUAGUGGGCGCUAUUUCGUUGCUAUCGCUACGUGGCAUAUAGGUAGCUUGCCUCUAUUUGCUAUUGACAACUAUGAGCUAUGGGAACCAGAUAACAGUAAGGUGCUGUUUGUUUUUUCUGAGGUAAAAUGUCUGCAGUCUGUCCCACCACAUCUGCAGGCAUCUGUAGCAAAAGAAGAGGUGGACCAAACCUUUGCAGAUUUUUUUUUUUUAGAAAAAAACUGUUUGUUUUUUAACUUCUUCAGGCUAUGAGAUAAACUUGUAAUGAACAUCAACCAAUAAUCAUAACCAUUUAAGCACAAUGAAAACCUUAAUUAAACCCUAAAAUUAAACCUAAACCAGAUAUAAUCUGAAAAAAAACAUAUAACUUAUGACUUAUAAUCUGAAAAACAAACAAACAAAUAACUUAUAACUUAAAAUUAAACCUAAACCACAUAAUCUGGAAAAAAACUUAUAAUCUGAAAAAAAAAAAAACUUA